rnacentral:misc_RNA from 1 species
GAUGAAGAACGUAGCGAAAUGCGAUAAGUAGUGUGAAUUGCAGAAUUCAGUGAAUCAUCGAAUCUUUGAACGCACAUUGCGCCCCUUGGUAUUCCAUGGGGCAUGCCUGUUCGAGCGUCAUCUACACCCUCAAGCUCUGCUUGGUGUUGGGCGUCUGUCCCGCCUCUGCGCGCGGACUCGCCCCAAAUUCAUUGGCAGCGGUCCUUGCCUCCUCUCGCGCAGCACAUUGCGCUUCUCGAGGUGCGCGGCCCGCGUCCACGAAGCAACAUUACCGUCUUUGACCUCGGAUCAGGUAGGGAUACCCGCUGAACUUAAGCAUAUCAUAAGCGGAGGA